rnacentral:rRNA from 1 species
CUUGACCAAUUCACGUGMCARCAGUCGCGGUAAUACGUGGAAGACUAGUGUUAUUCAUCUUAAUUAGGUUUAAAGGGUACCUAGACGGUGAAUUAAGCCCCAAAAGGGUACUAAUAAACUAGAGUUUUAGAUAAGAGGGGGAGUACUAGUGGAGUAGAGAUGAAAUUCUGUCAUACCAUUAUUGGAACAGAUUACAGCGAAAGCAAUCCUUUAUGUAAAAACUGACGUUGAAGGACGAAGGCUCGAGGCACGAACAGGAUUAGAUACCCUAGUAGUUCGGGCAGACAAUGAUGAAUGUCAUAGGUUAGAGAAUAUUUAGUCUAUAAAUGAAAGUGUAAGCAUUCCACCUCAAGAGUAAUGUGGCAACGCAGAAACUGUAAUCAUUAGACCGUUUUUGAAACCAGUAGUGAAGUAUGUUGUUUAAAUUGAUAGUCCGCAAAAAACCUUACCACAAUUUGUAUAUUUAUAAGGCUUUCUUAUAAUUACAAGCGUUGCACGGCUGUCUUCAGUUAAUGUCGUGAGAUUUUGGUUAGUUCCAUAAAAUUAACGUAAACCCUUGCUUUAUUUAAAAGAAAAAAUAAAGUAGCUCGCCACUAUAUUGGAUAUGCUAAGAGGGACUAAGACAAGUCAUCAUGACCUGAAUAUUGUGGGCUAUAG